CCAAGGGGUGGCAUUUGCCUGAGAUGUAAUCAUGAUUACAGACCCUUCGAACCUGAUCCGGUUAGUACCGGCGUAGGAAUGGAACAA
rnacentral:ncRNA from 1 species